rnacentral:lncRNA from 1 species
CCCCCAUUAACUUCUCUCUCUCUCUCUUUCUUUUGGGAAGAAGAUCGAAGAAAAUUUAAUCCAAUCGUAAUCGAGAUACUGCAGAAUAACUGACAAGUGUUAACAAAUCUUAAUUAACAAUCAAAUCUUAUACUUCGAAGAUGAAUUGACGAAUUAUGUUCAAGGACUGGACAACGGAAAUCGUGCGACACCCGAAGCCGCUUCUUGCGUUCUACGUCUGCGUCGAACGGAUGAGGAGAGGAAACACAUAGCGCCUUUACGAUGAAUCAGACCUCCCCCACCCCACCCCACCCCACUCCACCUCAUCUCCACCUGUUCCCCCUUCACCACCCUACCACCAUCCUUCUCUCUUCGUUUUCCUCUUUCAACCCCUCUUCUCGCACUCUUAUAUUAUAUCCCCCAACAGCAGACGCAGUCGCGUACUUUCUUUCAUUGCAAAUACGAGAGCCUUAUUAUAUCGGUGCAUUGCUGCAGUGAUGUCAUCUGGUUGUCCUAGUCCUACUGAUAUUAGUUACAAAGAAAUUCUACAAAGUAGACCACUAAUUGAUUCACAUGGUAGAUUACACAUGACGGCCCUGGUGUGCUAGAUUCAAUGUUUUAAUUAUGAUAAUUGAAACUGACCGAUAACGCAAAUAAAGCAGGAGCAACAACGAAUUAUAAACGAUUUCUAGGUCAGUGUUCCAACUAUUGUUAGGUGCGUAUGGUAGAAAAAAUAAAGAGAGAGAGAGAGAAUGAUCCCCCGCACCGGAACCGAGCAUUUAGGGUUCGACGAAACGAUCGUGCGCAUAAUCUGUUUCGAUC